UGAUGUGGCCCAGCCGCACUAUAGGAAGAUCAAUGACAGCUAGUGGAGAAUGGAGCGGAGUAGAGAGAGACUUGAGGCAGGUAGAGACCCCCCCCAACCCCCACAGCUACAGCAAUAGUCUGGGCUUGAGGGGAUAGAGGUCUGGGGUGCCCCAGGGUGGAACAGCAGCAUCAGAGGGCGGGAGAGGGCAUAUAGGAGAGAUGUCACGAAGGUGAAAUCAACAGGCCUUGGCAACAGAUUGGAUGGAGAGGUAAUAGAGUGAGGAGGGGAGGAAGACACCCAGGUAUCUAUCCUGGAGGCCUGGGAGGAUGCUUUUGCCAACUGUUCACUAACCCUAAGAGUCACAAAAAUUCUGACACCGAAAAUCACUGACAGAAGGCAUCUGUGGUGAAUUGGAAAGAACCCUGAACCAAGGGUCAGGAGGCCUGGUUUCCAGUCCCAGACUCUGCUUCUAACCAGGCCUCGUGCUCUAUCUACUGCUCUUCCUAGGCUGGAAGACAGAAACGAACAAAAACAUGAAACAAGCCCUGCCUUCGAGGAGCUUACAUUCUGUUGGAGGAGAUGGCAUGAACACAGAAACCAUAUGUAAUGGAGAGGAGCAUGUAUUCCUGCCAAGGUUUCCUGGACAAGUCUGGGACCAGAAUUGACGUCCGAAUCUACAGUGAGCAGAAGCCAACAUCCUCUCAUUUUCAGAAGCCAAAGGGAAAGAAUGUGUCCACCCUCCCAGUGCUUCCGUGUUGAUCCACCGCACUGACAGGAGCAAUGAACUGCCCCUCCCUGAGCAUGGCCAUAAGCCCCCAGUGUAAAGAAAGAAUAGAUCCACAUAAACCUCAACACUCAUAACAGCUCUUUUUGUGGUAGCAAAAGACUGAAAACAAUGUGGAUGCCCAUCAACGGGAGGCAUAACUCAAUAAGCUGUGGUGUGUGUAAGUGUAUGUACUGGAAUAUUGUUAUCUGGCAAGAAAUGACAAACACAAGAAUUCAGAGAAACAUUAUGGACGACUGCAGUCAAGUGAAGGAAACAGAACCAGAACCGUACAGAAGCUACAAUCAUGUAAAUGAAAAGAAUGCUUAAAGGAAGAAAUGGUACUCUGAGUAACUGUGAUAACCAAUUUUGGUCCCAGGGGACAUAUAAAGAUCCCUAGAGGAGGGGAACUAUGGGGGCCAAAUGCUGCACACUCUGUCAGACAUGGUCAUUGUAUCUAUUGUAUUUCCCUAACUGGUUUUCUUUGUUUCAAUGAAGGCUUUAACUCUAGAGGAAAAGGUGCAGUGGGGAGGGGUGAGUGCAGAAAUGAUGACCAAAUUUAAAAAAGUGUGAAUGAAUCUUAAUUUAAAAUAAUAUUAUUUCUUUAUUGCAAAAUGAAAUGCAGUUGAAUCACAGGCUUGGACUAGAUGGUCUUUAGCAUUCUUCCCUGGGGUGGCUAGGUAGUACAGAGCAUAAA